UCGCCUCCCAAUUCCAGCUGCCAAAGGCGACCGACCCCGGCGACGCUCGAUCCGGUGAGCCUGGAGCGCUCGUCGCGGCCGUCUUCCUCCUCCCUGGCCCCGCCUCCCGCCUCCUGUGUGCGCGCGCUCCUCCCCCUCUCUCCCACCCCCUCGCUGCCGACCUCGCCCGCCCCUUCGCCGCCGCCAUGGCCGUCCGUGCCGUCCGCGUGCUCCAUGUCGACAGCUACGACUCCCCCGCGCAAGAGCAGACGCACAAGAGCCCUUUAUCCUCCUAAACAUGCACAAACUCCUCCUAAACAGCGUGCGCCGCCGCCGAUCUGUGCUCUCCUCUCCACGCCGCCGAUUUGUCCUCUUCGGCUUCCUUCCAGCUCCAUGUGCUCCUUCCUCUCACCACCGCCCCAAUCCUCCCCGGCGCCACACCCAGCCUCCUCCACGUCUAUCUCCUGGCGCUGGCGGAUGUGUUCAAUUUGGAGGGAAUUCAGUGCCAUGUCCGUGCAGAAGAAAUACUCCAACACGAUAGCCAUGGAUGGCCCAUCUGGAUUUCACAAAUUCUUUGGUGCCAUAGAAAGAAAGCCUCCACCGGAUUAGAUCACAAGUUCUAAAGACGAACAACUCAAUGUCGCGUCCGCCAACUUCGCCUGAAGACCAUCCACCGUUGUCACCAUCGACUUUGCCGCAAGACCAUCCGCAAUCGCCUCCGCCGACUUUGUCGGAAGACCAUCAAUCGUCGCCUAGACCUACUUCGUCGCAGUGCUUCUUGCUGUACAAGACCACAUCUGGUUUCCACCAAGAAGCUGGAUCAGCGACAUUGGACUCUGGUAAGCUCAUGAAAAUUCUUGCAAUCCAGACUUGGGAGAGUCAAAUUUACAAGUAGCUUUUAUAGUGAUAGCUAACAUCAUCUUACUGUGGUUUAUUUGGCCCAUGUAGAGCUGGCAUGGUACGGCUACACUUCCAACAGUUUUACUUGCUAACAAAAAAUCAAGUAUAACUAAAAGAAUAUAUCUUUCUCUUGCUGAAAUAGGUUUGGACGCACAGUGUGAUAUAUAUAUAUAUAUAUAUAUAUAUAUAUAUAUAUAGAGAGAGAGAGAGAGAGAGAGAGAGAGAGAAAAGUCUAUGUAUUGUGUAAGUCCAUGCUCUCUACAAUCAAAGCCGUCCAUCCAGCAUGUGGAUCUGUUCCAGGCAAGCUUUGUCUCUUUCCAUCUUUGAAUUAAACAAUUUUCCGCAGCUCUCUCAUAUUUCCUCUUUUAGCUUGGUGGUCCAUAGCCUAGCUGCAGUCUAGACCACAUGCCUAUGUGUUUGUCUGGCCGGACGGCACCAUUUGACACAAAGAGUUCCAGACUAUGCCGGACCUUUUUACGAUGUUGUGAGAACAACAGACACUCAUUUUAGGCAAAGUGCAAUACUAUUCGUCAGUGCUUUGUUUUGUUUCUCUGACCAGCACUAAUACCAUGUCACGGACAUCAUAUUCAUCGCGUUUGCAACGAGCAACGCCCUACAACCCCCUUGCCAGCAUGGAUUAUUUUACAGUUAAGGAAAUUUGGGUUAUCAAGUUAGCUGUCGGGGAGCAUCCAUGGACGGUGACAACCCCUUUUUUCUUUGCGACAGCAGCGAGCCGGAUGUUAGGCGUCGGUCUUCAGAUUCUAGAGACCAUGAACGGCCUUUCCUUCUCUGUGUUGGUUAUGUGAGAGGCAACGAGGAGGACCUGCGUUGGUUAUGUGCAUCAAGCUUAGUAGUCUGUAGUCCUAUUUUUUGUUAUGUCAGUAUCUUCAGUUAUGGUACGAUUUGUAUCAUGUCAUAACCAACAUAUUCAUUGCCAUGUACUGCAUUAGACGCAUUGUUAUCAAAUGGAUUUACCAGAUUU